rnacentral:lncRNA from 1 species
UAUUUUAAUUUUAGUUUCUUGUGUACAAUUUGGAAAUUAGUAUGGCGUUCAUUAUCACUGAACUAGUAUAUAUUUGUUUAGGGGCCAGCUGAAGGAUGCCUCCGGGUGCAGGAAUUUCUCGCUACAUUGAAGACCUGUUGGUGACCUUCUGCUGUUGUUUUUUUUUUUCUAUGGUCGGGUUGUUGUCUCUUUGGCACAUUCCCCAUUUCCAUUCUCAAUUUUAUUAUAAUGUUUGGAAUUAUUAUAAAUUAAAUGUUUGGAAAUAAAGGUAUGUGUCCAUUGUAUACAAACAAAAGAAACUUGUUGUAAAAAGAUAAAAAAAAAUGUGUUUUUUCCAUAUUGCAGCUUAAUGCUGAAAUAUCAUUGGUAGAUGUCUACUGCUUGUAUUGAUCAUGUAUUUGAGUAGAUCUGCAGCUAAUUCUUUAUGACAAUAUAAAAAAAAAAGAGACUCAUCAUGACUAUAAUACGUAUGCAACCAACGUUUGCAACUCAUUAUAAUUUUUUCAUACAUUGCAAAGGCGACUUUACAUUAAGAAAAAUGAGUUGUCUCCCUUUAACCAGGAAAGCACGUUUUAACUUCUGAGACUACAGAAUAGAAAAUAAUUGACCAAUACAUACUACAGAAAAAAAAGAAAUAAAAAUAAAAAAUAGAGAAAAAGGGCUAAAGUUAUAAAUCAUAGAAAUCAAUGGACCAAACCUAUAAAAAGAGAGAGAAAAACAAUGGCUUAACUAAUUAAUGACUACAGAAUUACAGAAUUAUGGGACCCAAUCCAGGCCCUCGUUUAUACAUUUUGUUACUAUUUUGCUUAUUAUGUCUCUUUUGUUCACACAUCGCUGUAAAUAUGAUGGAAUUUGAUGCGACUGUCAUACAAGUGAGAGGUUUAGUGCUAUAAAACCAGGUUCAAUCCACAAUUUUCUACAUUAAAAAAUACCUGUUCCAAGUCAGGAAUAUGACAGUUGUCCAUUCGUUUGAUGUGUUUUAUCGCUUGAUAGUUUUUUAAAAAUUCUGCAUUUGAGGACCUAUAUGAACACAAAAGAACCAUAAAAGACCAACAGAAAUAUAAGGUAAAAUUUCCCCGAAGGAGUUAAAUCUUUAGUUAGUUCCGAAAUAAUUCCGAAAUAAGUUAUCAGAAAUUUUUUCUGAUAAGAAUCGACAUCGUAUUUUGAUGUGAGAUACCGUGGGGAAGUUCGGAGAAUGACGAGCUUACUUAUUUCGAGGUUUUCCAUAUUUGGGUUUGGAUUAGUUUACAAAAUGGACAAUAAGGAUAUGACUUUUUAUUUAUCAUACCGCAUGUUAUGAUAUCUUUUAACAAUAAUCAAAGUCCAUUGUUGUGUGAUAAAUUUUCAUAGGAAGUUUCAAUUUUCGAGGCAGGCUUGUCGAUUUUCCUACUUUACUUUCAAAAUGUGCAUAACCUUUUAUCAAUACAUACAAUGUAACAAGCCCUGAUGUUCUUGUACUUCAGUAGUGCAUUUACGUGCAUUUUUUCUGAUGUCAAUUAUUGUCAUAUGGCAAAAUGCAUCAUUACUGUGUAAAUGGCAGACUUACAAACUUUUUUUAUAUUCCUAUUAAUCCUGAGUGUGCUUUCCUGUAAGUGAACGAAGCAGUACAAAAUAGCGUACUUAAUAGUACAAAUAACCUUUUGAAAAUGGUUUAUAAAUGUACUAAACUACAUACAUACACAUAAGCGAUUAAAAAUGGACCCAUUUUUUUCGUUUCGUAAUUUUUCAGUAAAUUUUCUAUUGAAAAUUUUAACUUAUUUUCACUUAUUCAUUAUUUGUUUUUGUUUCAAUCCAUGCGAGGUAAUUG